UACAGAGGGGGCAAGCGUUUGUUCGGAAUUACUGGGCGUAAAGGGCGCGUAGGCGGCCUUCUAAGUCGAACGUGAAAUCCCCGGGCUCAACCCGGGAACUGCGUCCGAUACUGGAAGGCUUGAAUCCGGGAGAGGGAUGCGGAAUUCCAGGUGUAGCGGUGAAAUGCGUAGAUAUCUGGAGGAACACCGGUGGCGAAGGCGACGUCCUGGACCGGCAUUGACGCUGAGCGCGAAAGCCAGGGGAGCA
rnacentral:rRNA from 1 species